AUGUUGCUCAAGCUACUAAAGACAAACCUGAUGCAAACUCGUUUGACGCAAGUGUUUACUUAUGAUGCAGUUAAGGAGAAGAAAACUUUUUUGAAGAGGAAGAUGUCAGAUCGAAAUCCUGAUGGCACACAGAGGCGUAGCCCGCGUGUGAAAGAUGGUUCCCAACCUGGUAAUAGCAAAGCUGAUGAGGAUAGUGUUGCUGUGAAGAUUGGUCCAAGCAAACUUGGUGGCACCCCUGUCCAUCAUAGUCCACGGGUUUUGACAAAUAAGAAGCCUUCUUCGCCUCCUCUUCCAGAGCGCUCUUUGUUGAAAGAAAAUAAUAAGCGUAAAGUUCAUCCUACGAAGGUGAACAAAGGUGUGAAGAAGCGUGCUUGUGUCGAAGCUGAAGAUGUUGUAUCUGAAGAAGAUGAUAUAGAAGUUGAUUCUGAAGAUGAAUUUGCAGUGCCUGUUAGCGUUAUGAGUCCGGUCAAGCCGGUGGGAGGCAAUGCCGGAAAAGUUGCCUUGGAUGAAGAUACGAUGACUCUUGACAUGGGCGAGGCUAAUAAGAAGCUUCGCAUCACUAGCGAUGGUAUACAACAAUUAUUUGGGUUCCCUCGUGGUGGUCGUUCUCCGCCAAGGCCGUCAGAGGAUGGAUAUGACGACGCUCUGAUGAAGUUAAGAUCGGAGCUUGACAUUAGCAGGAACAAAGAUAUCAAGACAAAGGAUUUGAGGAAUAAGCUCAAGGUGCUCGUCAAUGAUCCUAGCAAAGAUGACCUUGCUCUGAAAGUGUUCUUCAUUAUUGUGUUAUGA
rnacentral:rRNA from 1 species